AGCGAUAAAGGCAAACUCAGUGAGAACUGAGGACGCAAAGCCACGGGUCUCCUAUUUGCUUUACGGAAGAUAGCCGGGUUACCGAAC
rnacentral:ncRNA from 1 species